GGGGCCGACCUGGUUUCGACGUGGGUCAGGAAGUGGGUCAGGGCAUGCCGAGGCCUCGUUACCUCGUAAAUCCAGCGGGAAAUUAAUAAACGCAAACGAAGAGCGUUUCGCUCUCGCCGCCUAAUCCCGGCGAGCGCCACACCAACUUGCUGAUGGGUUGGGUCAGAUUCGGGUAACUGGGUCUGGCAGUGGUG
rnacentral:tmRNA from 1 species